UGGAAGGGGGCAGGCGAGGAAGAAUUAUUAUGUAAAAUAGGCCUGGAAAUAAUUAUUUGAAUAGAAAAUUAACUGACACAUUCAUCUAUAAACUGGAUUUAAAAAAAAAAAAAAACAUUCCCAUGCCUUUAUUCAAUAAACAUUUAAAACUGAGUUCAAAAAAUGCAUAAAAGAAAGGUAAUGUGAUUAGUUUUUAACAUGUCAUACUUUUCCUAAAGUAAAAGCAGAAAUUUACAAAUUGACUAAAAUAAUAAAAGUGAUUUAUUACUAUUAGUAUUAUUAAUAUUUACUACUUUAUUAUUGAUAUGGAAAGAAAUUGCUGAAAUGCUUACAUUGAGGAUUUUAAGUUAAACAAGAUCUAAACAAUACAUUGUUAAAAAUUGUGAUCCAAUUUAUUUGAUAGGCUGGUUGUCAAUCAAGUCUUGAUCACACCACUAAUGUUGAAAAAUACUUCAAGUGAGAGGAAUUCAGAAUGGGAAAGCAGUAUUAUUCACACAUAAAAGUAGAAUAAAAAUAACUAGCAAAACACAAACAAAUACAAGAGCAAUAUUAAGAGGAAAAUGAUGGACAUGGAAAUCUAAUUCAAACAAACAAAAAAACAGAUGAGUGUUGCUUUGUGGUCAGUAAUUCAUAUACAGUGGUACUUUAAUGAGUUUUCCAACUUAAGACCUUUUGGAGGUACAAGCCAUCUCUUGGUUGAUUUUCUACUGUGUGGUUCUUACAAGAAACUUACAAGUACUGUUUUUUUUUUCUUUUUUAAACCAUGAUAUCUGUUCUGCGGGCUGUCCACAGAUUGGCUCAUAGAAAAGUGUUUGUCCAAAAAUGAGGCAUAGUGUACUUGCUUCAGGUUGUUAAUUGCCACACCCAGUUAAAGUUUACUGUAAAACAAAGAAAUGACCCAUCUCAACCGAAAAAAGUCCACUAUUAAUUGUGAAAUGCCACAGAGGGCCUCGCAAAACUAGCAUAGACAUGUCACGGUGGUGAGCAACUGAUUUGAACGUAAACUGUGCAAAAGCCAACAGGCUGAUCAUACAAAAAUAUUCAGACAUACAAAUCUUUAUGAAAUUACUACAGCUUCGUUACCUUUCAUUAUCACAUCUACAUGACCGUAAUUUCCGGCCUAUAAGCCGCGACUUUUUUUACACACUUUCAACCCUGCGGUUUAUGCAGUGAUGCGGCUGAUUUGUGCAUUUUUUUUUCUAACGGCCGCAAGGGGGCACUCGAGUGGAAAAGGUAAGAGUGAGACUGGUGGACUAUGUGUGUCGAGGAAGUGACUUUUGCCGGUAUGUUUUUUUUUUUUAUUUAUUUUUUUUUUUUUUAAAUUGGCCCUGUUAGCGCUCCGCUAGCGCUCCAUCCCCCUUUUGUUCCCACAUACUGUAUUAUCCGAGUGUCACUCUCAAACUCAAUGGUGUGUGCGUUAACACGGAUAUCUUGCUUUUUGUGUACGCGCGUGUCGCUAGCAGUUAGCGCUGCGCUAGCGCCUGCUGCGUUACUCCCGCAUCUCAGUGAUGUAGGUAUGUACCCCCCCCCCCCCCCUCAUCGGCCCUGUUCAUGCUGCGCCACAGUGUUGCUGUUUUUUUAUUUUCUACCCAAAACCAGCCCUGUUUGUGCUACAGUGUUCUUGGUAUGUUAAGCUAAGCUAAGGUAUUAAAACUUUGAAAACGCUUUCUGUUUACAGUCUUUCUUUGUAAAUAUCUCGUGUUUCAAUGUGGGCACUUGCGGCUUUUCCACAGGUGCGGCUUGUGUAUGUACCAAGGUAUUUCCUUGACAAAUGUACUGGGUGAGGCUUAUAACCAGUUGCGUUCUGUAGGCCGGGAAUUGCGGUAUACAGUAUGCACUGCGUCCAUGUAUUAUACUGCCCUCUGAUGGCCAAGGUGUGCACAGCAGGAGCAGCACAACAUUCAUUGAAUUAAAGCAAAACCAAAAAAAGUUGUAAAUCCUUUAAUUCUUACAAUUUGUAUAUUGUAUGGAAACGUAUACUGUACAAUACCAUUCUUUGCAAGAUGCUAUUUUCUUGAAAACAAACCUAACCAAAACGUGUUUUUUCAGGGGGGCGUCACGGCUUAAUGGCGUUCCAGUUCAUUUCGAUGGGGAACGUUGAUUUGAGAUACGAGCGAAGUCGUGGAAUGAUUUCAAAUUGUACGAGAUCCACCUGUUAGAUGUAUUUUGGAGCCAUCCACUUGUCUGUCUGUGCCAAGGAACUUUGUUCAAGUGAGCUGAAGAGCCUGGUUUAGACAAAAGUAGUGCUUUGUUGCCAUCCUGUGGCAUAUGGAGGGCUUGGCCCCUCUCACGUGGGAUUUCACAAUAUCUUAAGACACAACUGAAAGAGGUGACUCACACGAGGACGGAAGUUGACAAUGCGAUUGAGCUUCACGACGAUGCACGGUUG